rnacentral:rRNA from 1 species
UCAGAUGAGCCUAGGUCGGAUUAGCUAGUUGGUGAGGUAAUGGCUCACCAAGGCUACGAUCCGUAACUGGUCUGAGAGGAGGAUCAGUCACACUGGAGCUGAGACACGGUCCAGACUCGUACGGGAGGCAGCAGUGGGGAAUAUUGGACAAUGGGCGAAAGCCCGAUCCAAACAGGCCGGGUGUGUGAAGAAGGUCUUCGGAUUGUAAAUCAAAAGGAGUUGGGAGGAAGGGCAUUAACCUAAUACGUUAGUGUU